rnacentral:rRNA from 1 species
AUUGAACGCUGGCGGCAUGCUUUACACAUGCAAGUCGGACGGCAGCACAGAGAAGCUUGCUUCUUGGGUGGCGAGUGGCGAACGGGUGAGUAAUAUAUCGGAACGUACCGAGUAAUGGGGGAUAACUAAUCGAAAGAUUAGCUAAUACCGCAUAUUCUCUGAGGAGGAAAGCAGGGGACCUUCGGGCCUUGCGUUAUUCGAGCGGCCGAUAUCUGAUUAGCUAGUUGGUGGGGUAAAGGCCUACCAAGGCGACGAUCAGUAGCGGGUCUGAGAGGAUGAUCCGCAACACUGGGACUGAGACACGGCCCAGACUCCUACGGGAGGCAGCAGUGGGGAAUUUUGGACAAGGGGCGCAAGCCUGAUCCAGCCAUGCCGCGUGUCUGAAGAAGGCCUUCGGGUUGUAAAGGACUUUUGUCAGGGAAGAAAAGGCUGUUGCUAAUAUCGACAGCUGAUGACGGUACCUGAAGAAUAAGCACCGGCUAACUACGUG